rnacentral:rRNA from 1 species
UCGAACGCGUGUAGCAAUACACGAGUGGCGAAAGGGCGGGGAAUAGAUUCCUACGUACCCCGGAGUCAGGGAUAACCAUCGGAAACGAUGGCUAACACCUGAUGAUCUCGAAAGAGCAAAGUUUACGCUCUGGGAGCGGGGAAUCUCCUAUCAGCUAGUUGGUGAGGUAAUGGCUCACCAAGGCGAAGACGGGUAGCGGGUGUGAGAGCACGGCCCGCCGCAUCGGGACUGAGACACUGCCCGGACUCCUACGGGAGGCUGCAGUAACGAAUCUUCCGCAAUGCGCGAAAGCGUGACGGGGCAAUGCCGCGUGUGGGAUGAAGCCCCUCGGGGUGUAAACCACUGUCAGGGUCUAGGAACACAAUGACCAUACCCAAAGGAAGCACCGGCUAACUCUGUGCCAGCAGCCGCGGUAAUACAGAGGGUGCGAGCGUUAAUCGGAAUCACUGGGCUUAAAGGGUCCGUAGGCGGGACUGCAGGCGUCGAGUGAAAUACCACGGCUCAACCGUGGAACUGCUCGGCGAACCGCAGUUCUUGAGGCAAGUAGAGGCGAUCAGAACGAUAGGUGGAGCGGUGAAAUGCGUAGAUAUCUAUCGGAAUGCCAAAGGUGAAGACAGGUCGCUGGGCUCGUCCUGACGCUGAGGGACGAAAGCGUGGGGAGCAAACGGGAUUAGAUACCCCGGUAGUCCACGCCGUAAACAAUGCGCACUGGGUCGGGGGGGUUUGACGCCCUCCUGGCCGAAGCAAAAGUGUUAAGUGCGCCGCCUGGGGAGUACGGUCGCAAGGCUAAAACUCAAAGGAAUUGACGG